rnacentral:tRNA from 1 species
GGGCUCUUUUUCUAAAUCGGAGGGCAAAUAGCCUUCACACGGCGGAGGUCCUGAGUUCGAAUCUCAGCGGGCCCA